rnacentral:rRNA from 1 species
AUUGAACGCUGGCGGCAUGCCUUACACAUGCAAGUCGAACGGCAGCACGGGUGCUUGCCCCUGGUGGCGAGUGGCGAACGGGUGAGUAAUACAUCGGAACAUGUCCUGUAGUGGGGGAUAGCCCGGCGAAAGCCGGAUUAAUACCGCAUACGAUCUACGGAUGAAAGCGGGGGACCUUCGGGCCUCGCGCUAUCGGGUUGUCCGAUGGCUGAUUUGCUAGUUGGUGGGGUAAAGGCCUACCAAGGCGACGAUCAGUAGCUGGUCUGAGAGGACGACCAGCCACACUGGGACUGAGACACGGCCCAGACUCCUACGGGAGGCAGCAGUGGGGAAUUUUGGACAAUGGGCGAAAGCCUGAUCCAGCAAUGCCGCGUGUGUGAAGAAGGCCUUCGGGUUGUAAAGCACUUUUGUCCGGAAAGAAAUCCUUGGCCCUAAUACGGUCGGGGGAUGACGGUACCGGAAGAAUAAGCACCGGCUAACUACGUG